AUGGCCUGGACCCCGCUCCUCCUGGGCCUCCUGGCUCACUGCACAGGUUCUGUAUCUUCCUAUGAGCUGAAUCAGCCGCCCUUGUUUUCUGUGAGCCCGGGAGGGGAUGCCAAGAUGACCUGUAGGGGAAGCAACAUUGGAAGCUAUGCUGUUAACUGGUACCAGCAGAAGCCAGACCAGGCCCCUGUGCUGGUCAUCUACUAUGAUAACAGGCGGCCCUCAGGGAUCCCUGACCGCUUCUCUGGCUCCAACUCUGGGGGCACAGCCACCCUGACCAUCACGGGUACACGCCCUGAAGAUGAGGCCGACUAUUUCUGUCAUGUGUGGGAUAGUAGUAGUAGUUCUCACAGUGGCACAGACAGAUGGGGAAGUGGUGGUUUAGGGCAUUAA